rnacentral:rRNA from 1 species
UAACAGGUCUUCGGAUGCUGACGAGUGGCGAACGGGUGAGUAAUACAUCGGAACGUGCCUAGUAGGGGGGGAUAACUACUCGAAAGAGUAGCUAAUACCGCAUGAGAUCUACGGAUGAAAGCAGGGGACCUUCGGGCCUUGUGCUACUAGAGCGGCUGAUGGCAGAUUAGGUAGUUGGUGGGGUAAAAGCUUACCAAGCCUGCGAUCUGUAGCUGGUCUGAGAGGACGACCAGCCACACUGGGACUGAGACACGGCCCAGACUCCUACGGGAGGCAGCAGUGGGGAAUUUUGGACAAUGGGCGAAAGCCUGAUCCAGCAAUGCCGCGUGCAGGAUGAAGGCCCUCGGGUUGUAAACUGCUUUUGUACGGAACGAAAAGCCUGGGGCUAAUAUCCCCGGGUCAUGACGGUACCGUAAGAAUAAGCACCGGCUAACUACGUGCCAGCAGCCGCGGUAAUACGUAGGGUGCAAGCGUUAAUCGGAAUUACUGGGCGUAAAGCGUGCGCAGGCGGUUUUGUAAGACAGUGGUGAAAUCCCCGGGCUCAACCUGGGAACUGCCAUUGUGACUGCAAGGCUAGAGUGCGGCAGAGGGGGAUGGAAUUCCGCGUGUAGCAGUGAAAUGCGUAGAUAUGCGGAGGAACACCGAUGGCGAAGGCAAUCCCCUGGGCCUG